rnacentral:rRNA from 1 species
GACGAACGCUGGCGGCGUGCUUAACACAUGCAAGUCGAACGCUGAAGCACCAGCUUGCUGGUGUGGAUGAGUGGCGCACGGGUGUGUAAUACGUGAGUAACCUGCCCUUGACUCUGGGAUAAGCCCGGGCAACUGGGACUAAUACUGGAUGCUACAUGUCACCGCAUGGUGGUGUGUGGACAGGGUUUAGUGGUCUUAGCCGGGCUCACGGCCUAUCAGCUUGGUGGUGAGGGAAUGGCUCACCAAGGAGACGACGCGUAGCCGGCCUGAGAGGGUGACCGGCCACACUGGGACUGAGACACGGCCCAGACGCCUACGGGAGGCAGCAGUGGGGAAUAUUGCACCAUGGGCGAAAGCCUGAUGCAGCGACGCCGCGGGAGGGAUGACGGCUUUCGGGUUGUAAACCUCUUUCAGCAGGGAAGAAGCCACAAGUGACGGUACCUGCAGAAGAAGCGCCGGCUAACUACGUG